rnacentral:rRNA from 1 species
UACGUAGGGUGCGAGCGUUAUCCGGAUUUACUGGGCGUAAAGCGCCCGUAGGCGGCCUGACAAGUUGGACGUGAAAGCUCCUGGCUUAACUGGGAGAGGCCGUUCAAAACUGUCAAGCUAGAGUCUGGAAGAGGAGAGCGGAAUUCCCGGUGUAGUGGUGGAAUGCGUAGAGAUCGGGAGGAACACCAGUGGCGAAGGCGGCUUCCUGGACCUGUUCUGACACUGAGGAGCGAAAGCGUGGGGAGCGAUCCGG